AGUGAACGCUGGCGGUAGGCCUAACACAUGCAAGUCGAACGGCAGCACAGUAAGAGCUUGCUCUUACGGGUGGCGAGUGGCGGACGGGUGAGGAAUACAUCGGAAUCUACUUUUUCGUGGGGGAUAACGUAGGGAAACUUACGCUAAUACCGCAUACGUCCUACGGGUGAAAGCAGGGGAUCUUCGGACCUUGCGCGAUUGAAUGAGCCGAUGUCGGAUUAGCUAGUUGGCGGGGUAAAGGCCCACCAAGGCGACGAUCCGUAGCUGGUCUGAGAGGAUGAUCAGCCACACUGGAACUGAGACACGGUCCAGACUCCUACGGGAGGCAGCAGUAGGGAAUAUUGGACAAUGGGCGCAAGCCUGAUCCAGCCAUACCGCGUGGGUGAAGAAGGCCUUCGGGUUGUAAAGCCCUUUUGUUGGGAAAGAAAAGCAGCAGGUUAAUACCCCGCUGUUCUGACGGUACCCAAAGAAUAAGCACCGGCUAACUUCGUG
rnacentral:rRNA from 1 species